ensembl:lncRNA
AUGGAGUUAAAAACCAAGAUGUUGUUCGUAUUCAGACUCCGUAAAAUAAUAGGAUGGGGUGAUCCAAGUAGGAUCGCAACCCUGGACUUCAGGAGAGCAAACUUUGGCCUCUUCAGGGACCUACUUGGAGGAAUCCCAUGGGUGAGGGCCCUAGAAGGAAGGAGUGUUCAAGAGAGCUGGUUAAUAUUCAAACAUCACUUCCUCCAGGCUCAAGAGCGGUGCAUCCCUAUGAGUAGGAAGUCAAGCAAAGGAGGCAGGAGACCUGCAUGGAUGAGCAAGGAGCUCCUGGCAAAACUCAACCAGAAGAAGGAAGUCUACAGAAAGUGGAAAGGGGGACAGGCCACUUGGGAGGAAUAUAGGAACACUGUCAGAGUAUGCAGGGAUGCGACGAGGAAGGCUAAGGCCCGUUUGGAAUUAAAUCUGGCGAGAGAUGUCAAGGACAGCAAGAAGGGCUUCUUCAAAUACAUCAGCAGCAAGAGGAAGACUAGGGAAAAUGUGGGCCCUUUGCUGAAUGGGGUGGGUGCCCUGGUGACGAAGGAUGCAGAGAAGGCAGAGUUACUGAAUGCCUUCUUUGCUUCAGUCUUUACUGCUCAGGCCAGCCCUCAGGAACCCCAGAUCCUGGAGGCAAGAGAGAAAGUCUGGAGAGAGGAAGACAUUCCCUUGGUGGAGGAGGAGUGGGUUAGAGAUCAUUUAAGCAAACUUGACACCCACAAAUCCAUGGGCCCUGAUGGGAUGCACCCACGAGUGCUGAGGGAGCUGGCAGACAUUAUUGCUAAGCCACUCUCCAUCAUCUUUGAAAGGUCAUGGAGGACAGGAGAGGUGCCUGAGGACUGGAAGAAAGCCAAUGUCACCCCAGUCUUCAAAAAGGGCAAGAAGGAGGACCCAGGGAACUACAGGCCAGUCAGCCUCACCUCCAUCCCUGGAAAGGUGAUGGAGCAGCUCAUCCUGGAAGCCAUCUCCAAGCAUGUGGAGGAAAAGAAGGUGGUCAAGAGUAGUCAGCAUGGCUUCACCAAGGGGAAAUCAUGCCUAACCAAUCUGAUAGCCUUCUAUGAUGGAAUGACUGGCUGGGUAGAUGAGGGGAGAGCAGUGGAUGUUGUCUACCUAGACUUCAGCAAGGCUUUUGACACUGUCUCCCAUAGCAUCCUCAUAGACAAGCACAGGAAGUGUGGGUUAGAUGAGUGGACAGUGAGGUGGAUUGAGAACUGGCUGAAUGGCAGAGCUCAGAGGGUUGUGUUCAGUGGCACAGAGUCUAGUUGGAGGCCUGAAGCUAGCGGUGUCCCCAGGGGUCGGUACUGGGUCCAGUCUUGUUCAACUUCUUCAUCAAUGACCUGGAUGAAGGGACAGAGAGCACCCUCAGCAAGUUUGCUGAUGAUACAAAACUGGGAGGAGUGGCCGAUACGCCAGAGGGCUGUGCUGCCAUUCAGAGAGACCUGGACAGGCUGGAGAGGUGGGCGGAGAGGAACCUCCUGA